CCUAAAACAACCAAAUUGAUCAACAAUAUUAAUUCCAUGGAUUAUUAUCUUAUACUACGUUAAAUAUACCAAAAGAACAACGUUAAGUUUAGAAUAAGAAAUAUAAUCUUAUUAAUGUCUUGACUUCCUUCUAUAGAUAUUGAAGAUGACUUUGUCAAGGCACCAUCUCCAACAUAAUAUCUCCACCCUCAAAUGAAAAGGACACUAGUUCUACAUCACAGAAUGUGCAAACGUUGUGAAGGGAAAUCAUUUUUUUUCCUCCUUAAAAAUUUUAUAUUCGAAAGGUUAUAUCAAAGCGAUCAAAGAAUAUACUUCAUUAUUAAAUGUCAGAAGUAAGAAAGUAAUAUCUUUUGAUUUGAAACAAUGGUGGAAGAACCGUUGAUACCAAUCAUUUCCGAUUACUCAAGAAAGAAUUAUUCAUGCCAAAUAUUCAAAAAGGAAAGAGCUCCUAUUGAAACAUGAAAAGCCUAAAAAUGGAGAGGCCUCAACCACAAGGCUAUAGCUAAGUUCACAAACUUAGCGAGUUAUGGUUCAAAAAGCUAGUAAUAUAAGUCAGGACAUUCAGUAAGUAAUCAAAAUUUAAGUCAAGUCCCUCUGGAAUAUAUUUGUUAAGUGCAAUAGUAACCUAUCCAAGUCUAUCUCAUUAAAAAUAACAAUAUACUGUUCAUUUAUCAGAUCUUAUAUCCAUUUAUACUUUUAGAAG
rnacentral:lncRNA from 1 species